GUAAGGUUGAUUUCACUGAAAAGCCUGAUCGUUACCUCGCAUUAGGAGCCAGUGUGCUCCAGAGGGGAGCACAGGGAUGUCAGUGGGGAGCUGGCCACCCAAACAACUGCAGUAGGACCAUUUUUAAGGGGAAGCGUUUCUUCUUUGAACUCCAGAGCUGCUGGAAAAAGUUUAAUGCUCGAAUGAGGUGUCUAAAGGCCUAAGUCUCCUUUUGUUUAUAAAGGCUGGGAUCAAUGAUGAGCAUGGAAAAGGUCAAGGCAAAGUCUAGUUGCAUUCUUCAGGAGAGCUGCCAAACUGCUCAUCAAAGCACCUCAAAACAUGUGCUGAACCUAUCAGGUUUUCCACAGUCAGGCUCCAACUCCAUGACUUGAAGUGUGCCUUUAUUUCCAUGAAAUUCCGACCUGUGACACCAAGAAAAGGAGGAGAAAAGCAGCAGCUGUCCCCAAAGGGGGAGUAACUAACACAAAGCCGGAAAAGAAAUAUGCACAUACUAAAAUGUAAUUAAAAAACAUCGUUCACAUCUUGCCACUUGGAAAUUUUCCAAUGAUACUGAACCCAUUAAUUUACAAAACAAACGACCCAGCAUGCAGACUUAAUUUGCAUCAGGAAGGCAAUGUACCACAGAUUUACCUGUUGCAAAUUGUCCUCCUUCAAGAUGCUGCAGUGUUAUUUGCAGUUAAUGUUUAAGACUUCAUUUUACCCACAUGUGGAGUUGUAUUCUGUUAGUGGAAUAAAAGGCAACAGGACA